rnacentral:rRNA from 1 species
UACAGAGGUCCCAAGCGUUGUUCGGAUUCAUUGGGCGUAAAGGGUGCGUAGGCGGCGCGGUAAGUCGGGUGUGAAAUCUCGGAGCUUAACUCCGAAACUGCAUUCGAUACUGCCGUGCUUGAGGACUGGAGAGGAGACUGGAAUUUACGGUGUAGCGGUGAAAUGCGUAGAUAUCGUAAGGAAGACCAGUGGCGAAGGCGGGUCUGUGGACAGUGCCUGACGCUGAGGCACGAAGGCCAGGGGAGCAAACGGG